GGGCACGGCUGCAGCGAGGCCGCAGAGAGCGAGCGCCAGAAUAAUCCGCAUGGUUUCGGCAGCACCCGACGCCUCUGGGGACCUGCUGGGCAAGAAGUGUCCACAGUUAGCAUGACCCAAACCGUUCCUGGAGCAUUCACACAUCCCGGGGGCUCUUCCAGCCAAAUCCACUCCUAGGCUCCAGAGAUGGAGAGCCAGAGCAGCUGCAUCAACACUUCACUUGUGGUCUCAGCAUCCCGACUCUGCAUUGGGUUUUCCCGUGAGCAAGAAUUAAUGUGCCAAGAGUCAAGACGGCACUCUGCCAUGCCGGGCCGGUGCGUUUUGAACGAAAGCUUCCCUUUUAAACAGCUCUUACAGCGUUGCUUUGUGUUCUUUUACAGUAAAGGCUUUGGGGAGGGGCCAGGGAGCAAGAGGUCUUUCCAUCUCCAGAGUAGCAGGUCAAACCUCUGCCCUGGUCAGGAAAAGUUAAAAGCAGGGUGUUUAUGCUGGCCGCAUAACCCAGUGCUGCCUGUCGAUGCCGGAGCUGCCGUGGUCAGGGUACGGCAGGGAUCAUUCCUCUCUGAAGACUCCAGCUCGGUACCCAAACGCUGAGCUUUCUAGACACUAGAUGGAGCACAUGAGCUCCCAGCAAGCUUGGUCAGAGGGGGUCCCUUGAGAAGGUCUGACUCUGGUCAGCUCUGUCAGGAAUGUACUGGGAGAAAGGCAGAUGGUGAACCCCCUCCUCUCCUCCUGCAAAGCCCCUUCCCAAUGCAUACAUGCACUAGGUAGGUGCAUCUCAUCACGACAUAGGUGUACCUGUCCCCAGUGAGGGCUCUCAAGUGCUGUAGGGAUUUUAGAUAAAUCUUCAGACUAGUUAGUCCUACAGCCAUGCCUGAAAGCUCUUCAGAGAGCUAGCUCUUGGGUCUAAAGGGUGAACAUUUACUCCAAGUGAGUUGUUUGGACUCCUCUACUGAGCGGGUAGCAAAAGAAAAAACAUCCAAAAGGCAGCUCAUCCCUCCUGCCUCCGAGGCUAUAACCUGUCCCUGAGCCCUCCCUCCCGAUUUUACACUGCUCACAGCGACUCUUCCUGGUAGCAGAUCUCUGGGAUCUGAAUUCCCCCUCCGUGCCCAAAACCGAGCUUUGCGGUGGGCAGCGUCACGCCCAAGGCUACAACGGAGUCCCGUUCCUCGGCCGCGUCCUCCUACCCGGCUCGGGGCCGGCCUCGCGGGCCCGCUGGUUGCGUGCCGAGGCAAGUAGGGCUGCGACGGCGGCAGCUUCAGGGUUAAAGCCAACAGAGCAGGAAGCGAAGGGCCCCCUGGGAUUACGCAUGGAAGGAAACACGCAUGCACAUAGCCUGGAGCGAAGCAGGGAGUGCGCAGCUGCACCAGCGACCCACUGCCAGAGCUGGAAUUAGGUAAACGCAGAAAGGGAAGCAAUUUGUCUCCUGCGAUCCUUUGGGGAAUACGGAAGAGCUGUCCUGGCUACCCAGGAGAAAGGCUUGUGCAACGGCCUCCAAAUUGUCCUUGACGCACUUUUUAAGUGGCGUGUAAAAGGGUGACCGCGCAGAGAAGGAAGGGCCUGAACAAAAACAUCUCUGGCUGUCAUCGUCCCUGGGCAUUUUGCAUCCAAGCAGCCAGCAGCAUCGUCCAGCUGCAUCCGAAAAGGAACCGAAAAGGCGAGAAAGCAGCCAGUGCGUCGGCCACGUCGGUCUCUGUCCACCCCACGAAGGCCAGGGCCAUCUCUAAGGAAGUGGCCGAGAUGCUGCUGCAGGGGCAGGGCGAGAGCGGAGAGUCGUGAUGCCGCAGCCUCGGUUUCCCCCUUUCCAGGAUGGAGCCGCUCUCCUUAGAGCCAACUGCAAACCUGCCUGCAGAGAUACAACAGGAGAAGGGGCUUCAUCCUUCCCGGCUCCACCUGAAAGCAGGGUCCAUGGACCGCGGGGCCCGGUUGCCUCGUCCCCCGUGAGCUCGGUGUGCUGAUCUGCUGCGAUCACAGCGGUCUGUCUCUCUAGAUAUAUGUUUUUUCCCCUUUGACUGGGAUGACACCCACAUGGGCGGCAAAUGUCACACCAGCCCCUUGCCUUCACAUAGACACGAGCUCGUGUCCAAAUUCGGUCAAGGAGUUUAACCAUCGGAGCAGUUUAGGAUGUAUCUGCAAAAAGCCAAGACAGGUUUGGAGGGCAAGGGGACCGGCUGGUGGUGAACUGAGCGCACACUAAUGAUGAGAAUAGAGAUAAGGCAGUUUGGGGGGUUUUUACUUUUCCUUUGAGACAGGAGAACGGUUUGGCUUAAAUGGAGGUUGCCUAGUUGAAUGUAAUUUGGUAUUUCCAAGCUUUAUUGUGCUUUUCACAACUUUAAUAAUAUUCUUGAUGUCACUUUGCUGUGUAUGAUAGCUAUAUAGUGUCACAUAUAAUGUUUAAUACGUCUAACCAUACAUUUCUCUCUAUCUGAAGUUGCCUAAAUCCCGGAAUAGCGUUUGUGCAUGCGGGACCCUUAGCAAAAAGAAAAGUCUCUCGUAUGUCCCUAUACAUCAAAACCCACCUACUCUGCCUAGCCUAAAUACGCCUGCCUGCUUAAAACACACCGGCAGAAAAUUGCAAUGUGUAUCUCCUAGCUACUGUACAGCUCUCCAGUGAAACCCUGGCAUUCAAGAGGUGGGAGGCUGGAUUUCUGGAAAAUUCAAGGAGCCCACAUGAUGCAACUCCGAUGCAUUCUUGCGGAGUGAGGUCUGCUAAUGUAAUCUUCAGUGGGGGCCGUUAGCAUUUUGCUCCAGAUGUUAACGGGCUGCAGCUACUCAUUUGAGAUUUUCAAGGCUCGGACGUCUGUCCUGGCAGAGCUCUGGGGUUUGUGCUGCUUGUAUUGCAGAGCCACGCUCAAGCGUCAGAGAGAGUUAUGUUAAUUUUAGGAGCAAAUGCCGCUGUUUGUUAGUUUUCCUUUUUUGUCAUUUUAUAACUUGAAGAGAGGAAAGCUGUUGAUUGUGCAACAGACCUUCUGUUUUCCAUUUUAGAGUUAACCAGCGCUGUCUGCAGUCUUCACUGAAAGAACGAAAACUAUAUUUAGCGUCUGCAAAUGUUUCUUUCUUGCUUCUUCCUAGCAAACCGCCCUCUGGCCGUUGGACACAGCAAGUCUCGCAGGGUCUGAGCUGUGCGCGUGGCUGAGCCCCGUUACGCUCGGCUGGUGUCCUGGCCACCGGGAACCUGAAUGCCUUGCAAAUAACUGGGAUAGGACAGAUAGGGUGGAAAUACCUUUUGGCUAUUCGUGUAGUUAAAUUAGCCUGUGUGGGCACUGGUAGCAGUUUAGCCACCGUCUCCCAUGUCAGUGCCGAGCCCGGGGUUAUAUUCAUUCAUAAGAUGCUGAUGAAGACGUGCUGUGACCCCUUGUAUUGCUAAGAGAAGCACUAAACAUUGGAAGACUUUUUUCCUCUCUCCCAAAUUGAUCCAGAAAAAUCACGUAAGUCGCUCUGGUUGUAUUGAGUCCUGACACUCAGGAGAUGUCUUUGGCUGCAUGGCUGCAGUAAGAACGGAAAUGCAGAUCCUGGAGCAGGGAAAGCCCCGUGGCUGCUAUUGCCCAGCUGUUCAAUGGAAGAUGGCCUAGGGCUCAGCAUCUGUGAGCUGGACCACACAGGGGAAGAGCUGGCUCACCACGUAUGAAGAUCUUCCUGUGUGGGUUUCCAAGCAUUUAAUAAAACUAGGCAAGGAUGAUUGUCCUGGCUUAAAAGUUGGGGAAACUGAGGCACAGAUUGCAAGUCUGGGGCAGAACCAGAGCCCAGGUGUCCUGCAUCGGGAGUCCUGUGCCAGUUGCCCUGGCGUGUGCUGCAUCCCUUCUCCGAAAGGAUGCUGAAUAUUUUGUGGAGUUGCACAGGCAUCUUCUCUCUCCUUGGACAGAUAAUCUGCCUGGAGGUACCAUGGGAUGCUGAACUGCUCUGUGCCAGCUGUUUUGCAGUCAGCCCCCCCCCUCCCCCCCCAAUUAUCCCAACUCAAAUCCCACCUGAUGGGGAUGGAAAUGCUUUUAUACCUGCUCUCAGGGCCAGGCAGGCAGCUGCAUGGCACCCCAUGGCCACAGAGCAGCCACUGUGCUACCCAUCUGCAUCCCUGUCUCCUCUCACUUUCUGGCCAGGCAGAAACAGGCUCUUGUUUUGUGUUUGCACAGGCCCUAGCACUACGGGACCGUCACCUAUGAUCCUUCUCCAGCUGGGAUAUCCAAGCUUUGCUUUAAGCAAGGAGCUUUCUGUUUCCCGCAGUGGGAGGGGGUGCACUAACUGCCUCUUUGCAUCUCUGGCUACGGGGCUGCCCAAAGGCAACACAGUUCAGGCUCUCAGCCCGACCCAUGGUAAAUGAAACAUUUCUUGCCUUGCGCCUGGGGUCUGAAAGGCUGUUUGCAAGCCCGGAGGAGGCGCUGGUGCUGAUGAACUUGCACACAAGGGCUCUUGUUUAGCACGAGGCAGAGGCGGUUGGGCAAGCGUGAGAGAGGUGGGGUAGGAGGACGCGAUGAAUGGGGACCGUUGUUUCGCUCCUGAUUACCUUUGGGGGAUGCUGGACGAUUAGCAGCCAUGCACAAACGACUUGGGUUCAGUCUUUCAAAAGCUAUUUGCACUUUUGGACGCUGUUGGCUUGGAGGACAAGAUCUGUAGCCUCCUGUGAUUACUCCUGGUUCAGUACCCAGUGGGAUGCUUUGGUUAUAAAGACAUGCAUGAAUCAAAGCCUCUUAGAGCCGCCCUUCUCCUCCCCUGCAUGGAUCUGGCUCUGCCCCAUCCAGUUGGGAUUUAUUUCAAGUUCAUUUGCUGCCCGAACAUAGAGAAGAAGCAGCAAAGAAUGAAAGGCAGCUCCUGAGCUUUGAAUAGCUCAGGGCAUGAAUCAAGGCCUGUAGUUUAUUUAAAGGGAAAUACUCAAAUCCUAAAUGUUCAAGAUCACAGAUAUCUGAUGAAUAUUGGUAAUACCCAGCUGUGGUUACUGUUGACUGCAGUUUCCAAUGCCAACACUGUAUGCUGGACAUACAAAAUAGUGGAGAAAUUGUAAUUUAUACAUUGUGCAAAUUAUAAAUUGUAAAAAAGCCCUGGACAACGGUUUGCUCCCAGGCUGGGACAGCUGGUGGGAGAUCUCCAGAUCCAAAAUCCCAGUUUCUGUUCAAGCGCAGAAAUGGUUCCUGCCCCAGCAGUCUCCUUGUAACCUGUAUCUUUAAACUGCAACUCACUCAACACACAUUCCAUUCAUGGUCCUUUUCUAGAAGAAGACCUCCCUGGCACCUUUUCAGUGAACAUGCUUGUGAUGAGAGUUUUGCAAAGUAAAAUGCAGAACAUUUGGUGUCUCCUAUUCGGUUUGAUUCAUGGAUGUUCUCCAAUGCCAGCUUUUCAGGUCAGGGUUCAAAUUUAUUCAGGAAUCCCUCAUCCCUUUUUCUUCGUCUCCAUUUUUAACGCCUGCUUCCUUUUAUUUUUCAACUUUAGAAAGAUUUUUCCCCCUUUUCCCUUCUCCAGCUGGAUACAAUUGCCAGGAGUCAGAGGAGAGCCAUUUCUCUGGCUGUGUGAUGGACCUUGUUGCUGCUGAGACUCCAUGGGCACCUUCAUCACACUGAAAGUGGUGCAGUUGCCCACAAGAGGGCUGCCCCAUUCCUUCUCCCCCUGUCCCCUCUCCAUGUUUCCUCUUCCUUCCUCACACCAUGCCUUGUUCAUACAAAUCCAGGGAGAAUCCGUUCAGUGAGUUGAUCUGAUGGUGAAUUGCUCAGUUGUUACUGGUAUUAAGAACUACAGGCAGAUGACUAGGCUGCCUGCAUAUCUUAACAGCUGGGAGGUGAGCUUCGAUUCUCCUAUGGCAUCAACAUCCCGCAAUCACUCCAGGAAGUGGGUAGCAAGGCCAGGAGGGGAAUGGAGCCCAGAGCACCUAGAAACCAUGGGCAGAAAAAUAUGAAUCUUCCCCUAGGGAAAAAAUUGCUACAAGAGUGCUGUUGGGGGACAAGUACUGAGUGGCAGAGUCGGUCUUGGUGCUGGGAAACUCCUGUGUUUGCUUCAUUUGGUGGUCAUGACUGAGAAUUUGGUGGGAACUGGGAUGUAUCUUAUAAAGAAAGAUUAGGUCUCCAACGGAGCAGGAAGGUGGGCAAGUCAAGGGUUGUCUCAGUGGAAAGUAUAUGUGAAGAUGCAGCAGAGAUCCCAAUGCAGUAAGUGUUAGAGGCCUCGGUGGUGGUGGUGGAAGUUUCUGUAGGACAUCACAACCCUACACAGCUCAUCUGGCUUUAGCAAUGAAAUGUUAGGUGUUUUGUCAAAUCUCUUUUCUUGGCUGGUGUUAUGUAUCCUAUGUGCCCAUGGUGAGAUGAAUUACCUGCUAGAAAUGGCUCUCUGUCAGCUGUGAAGGAGCUGAGAUGAGGAACUCACAUGAACCAGGUGCUGAUCUUCUGCAUGGCUAAGACAAUGAACAGCAUCAGCACUCCUGCAGGGUUCCUCCCAAAACUGUCUUCCUCAUUUGACUGCUUUGAGAAUCUCUCCCUUAACUAUACGUUGAAAAAGACGCUUGGGUUUUGAUGUUGGCGUAUUUUUAUUCCUGGAUUGGAUAGCUGGCGGUUCUUUCAGGCCCACUGCACAGCCCCUCUGCAGCGUUACAUGCACAGCUUUGGGAGGAAUGGAGUUUUCAUUCCAAGGUCAUUCCAGGAGAUCCAAUUCUCUGUUUGUUUGGGAUAAAGUCAGAAGGGGUGACUAAGCUAGCCAAAAGGGAAAUCCACAAUGCUUCAUUUGAAUGAAACAUUUUGUUUCCUUUUUGUUUCACUCCUCUUCUGAAUUAAAAGGCUAAAUGUAGCCUCAAAACAUCGUUUUCAGACGAAGAACAUGAAAAAAAUUUUGAAGACAUCAAAAUAAACUGCUUAUUUUUUUUCUCUUUUUUGUCCUAAUUUUUCCAGCUGAAAUCAUUUUCCAAAUGCACCUCAACUUCAGAUAUAUUUUCAGUCACUGUGACAGUGCCUUUCUUGGUGAUUUAACUAUUUAACAAUUAUUUUCUGUCCAUCCCUUGUUCCGGCUAAUAGAAUAAUUGGGUCUCCUGGAGGCAAAUUCAUUAAAUGUGGGAUGCAUAAUGAAGCCGCUUGCCCCAGGCUCUGAUGCUGACUCACCACGUUCCUUUGAAGUGUUUCACCGCCAUCUCCCUUUUCCUACCAGGGCACAUAAAGCAAGCAGGUCAGGUCACGGCGUUUGCAGAAAAGUAUGCAGCGACUGCAUGCAAGGGGCUACAAAUGGCAGCUGGAGUCAUUUUGUGCAUCCCUGUGUUCACACGCACACACAUACGUGUUGACUCCUCUGAUUAUACUCAACCCAUCCUACAUCCUAUCUGACUGAUGACCAAUACCGUCCCCUAAACCUCCUGCCUGACAACGCAUGAGAAGUGUUUUACAAACCAGGCGCUGUGAUUGUGAGUUUUGCUGUUGGCUCACACAAGGUUCAUGCUCAGAGGCCUGGAAGCUUUGUCUGGACAACACAAUGGGUCUCCCCUUAGUUAUCUGUGUGCUGGUUAGCUGGGCUGCAGAUCAACUUUGUCAGCAGCAUAGAGACACCCACAUUAGCUCCGUGCCCUCCUGCUUAGGUCUGGUCAUCACCUUAACCCGGCACAUGCAAAUGCAAAAAUGCAGCUUGUGUCUGGUAUGUGCCCAAGAGAAGAUGUCCUUCCAGACCCUGGGUCACAGGGCAGCAGGGUCAGGAGACACCUGAAAGGCUCUGCAGGACCCAGCUUGGGUCCUGCAGGGCUGAUGCAGAUCUGGGGCAAAUAAAUCCUCAUGGACAUGAAGUUUUAGAGAUGCGCUGAAAUAUCACCGCACCGUGUUCUCCAGCAGGUCUUGUAGGACCAUAUUACCUGUGUUUUCCCAUUAGCUCAAGAGCUCCAGUGCUCUUGCUUCAGGUAAAUCAAAAGUCAUGUGUACCCUGAUGUCACCUCCACUUUGCUAUGUUAGGAUGUUAACACACACCAGCCACAAGAAAAUGAAGAGGUCUUAGCCUCCAGAGACAGUACUCCAUGCUUCCUGAGCCUGUUUCCCCAAGCACUAGCGAUGUAUGAACAGCUUAGCUCCAGCCUCUUGCCCUGGAGCUAGGCUUUGGCGCUGCUGUUGGUAGCAAGACCCUUAGCAUAUCUGCACCUUGCACCCAGCAGCAGGCAGGAGCAACAUUUCCAUGGGAGACGGUAGGGCACAGUCAAGGGUGCAGAGAUAUUGUCCGUCCUUGGUGACAGCAGUAUCCACGUGCAAAACCACAGCCACGUUGGCUGGUCUUUGCAAGCUGGGCUGUGCUGACAGCAAAGGGUGCAGACUGCGCCAAGGGGUUGUUUGAGUUUUGUGAGACCCUUAUUGGAGCAGGAGUGCUGCAGAUGCAAUCACUGUCCUGAGAGUGAGAUCUCCUGUGUGAGAUCAAGGCAAAAGCUCCCCUAGGCUUGACUGCGACCAAGGGUUCCUUUUGCCUGUCCCAGCCCAGAUCCCACGCCCUGGGCUCUGCACUGGGAACAUGCUUCUGGCUGCAUGUGGCUGGGGCUGACAGCUUCCCAUGCUUCCAAAAGCAUCAGAAAACCACAAGAAACAGCUCGAACCCUGUUCUGCAUUGCUGAGCUCCUUCUGAUCCCUGGCGGAGACGGUGAGUACCCUUGGGAGAAUAAUAAUGUUUGGGAAAAGUUUCCAGGAUAUAGCUGUCAGUGAAGCCUAUAGGAAAGGGUGCACCAAGGCAAGAGAGACCAGCAGAAAUAGAUGGAUUUAAAAAUAGUUGAGACAGAGGAGACAGAUUGGAUAAAAUUCCACAGCUGACAGAGAGAUGGGACGAUAGAGAUCAAAUUAGCAUGCUGCGGGAUUAAUUUCGGCCCUGUUCCUACACAGGCAGUGAGACGCCAGGCCUGGCAGGGCUCUCUCCAGCCAGCCGGAGAACCGGCUUUGCCCUGCAGAGACUCCCCGGGGCCUGCGGCACUCCGGCCUCAGCCCUGGGGACAUCCCCUCUGUGC